rnacentral:lncRNA from 1 species
UUUGUCAUUCAUUAAACAACUUAUAUUUACACUGGGGGCCGAAGCCAUUUACAAUGAAGAAAAAUGUAAAUCUUAGAAGCUAAAUAGGUAUAGGUGAAGGUGGAGGUGGAGAAGGGAAAGUGGGAAGAGCACGUACAAAAGGGAUUAUGGCUUGGGGACCAACUGCUUCAGAAGUCAAAUUGUCAUCCCAGCUUCAUUAUCUUCAAGCUCUAUUACAUGGCUGUCCUCUGCCGGAGUCUCAAGUUCUUCUUACUCCUAUUUCUUUAAAAAUUCUGACCUCAACUCGGUGGUGUUGAAAGUUGAGUGCACCUUAAUCCAUUCCACUACCUCGAUGUAUGCAAACCUUCUCCAAUACUUGGUGAAACACUGAUACUCCUUAGUUAAGUAAAAGUUGGCUAUUUACUACUUCACAACAUCAUUACCAGUAGAUUGGGCUUAUCCUGGAAAAUUCUAUCUCUUCAGUGAGGCAGUAAUACUGGAGUCAAUCUCUCCCACCCAUUACUUCAAUGCCGCAUUCUAUUUAUUUGACCUUUCCAAGGCCUCGACAGCCAAUUUCUAGUAAACAUCUAAAGUCUCCACUCGCUUCGUCAGGGAGUCACUUCACUUUGGGAUAAGUGGACUUCCUUCUUCAAAUUUUCUAUCUCUGCUAAAGCAGAAUUGAGCUUCACAGUCUCCUUGACUUAAGCUUUCUUGGUUGCUUUCUCAGCCUAGGAGGUCCUAUUCGAGAACUCCUUAUUCUUCUUUUGAAGGUUUUUAUAGAGGACUUCAGCCUUUUGGCUAUCCCAAACACACUCCUCCUUUGGCUUACCAUGGUGGCAAAAUUGUUAGCUGAAUCGCUGGACUCGAUGAAGAUCUUCCAUCUAUUCGUCCAAUACUUGUGGAAUGUGGCAGUAGUCGUUUGAACCUUUGGAGGAGGCAUGGAUAGAAACUAUGGAGCCAUCUCGUCGUUCCUCUUCAAAAAAGAGAGCUUUGUGUGAGGAGGUGCUGCACCCAAAGUCUCUAAGGUGUCACUGGACAUCUUUUCCUUCUUUGAAGACUUUUGCCUCG